rnacentral:rRNA from 1 species
UUGUAAAUGGAAUGAUGGUGACCCAAACCCUCACCAGAGUAGCAAUUGGAGGGCAAGUCUGGUGCCAGCAGCCGCGGUAAUUCCAGCUCCAAUAGCGUAUAUUAAACUUGUUGCAGUUAAAAAGCUCGUAGUUGUAUUUUUGCGUUGACGGUUUGACCAUUUGGUUGGUUAUUUCGUUUUCGCUUUUGGGAAUUUCCCUUUUUACUUUGAGAAAAUUAGAGUGUUUCAAGCAGACUUUUGUCUUGAAUACUUCAGCAUGGAAUAAUAGAGUAGGACUUUGGUUCUAUUUUGUUGGUUAUUGAACCUUAGUAAUGGUUAAUAGGAACGGUUGGGGGCAUUCGUAUUUAACUGUCAGAGGUGAAAUUCUUAGAUUUGUUAAAGACGAACUACUGCGAAAGCAUUUUCCAUGGACGUUUCCAUUAAUCAAGAACG